UACAGGGGGUGCUAGCGUUGUUCGGAAUUACUGGGCGUAAAGGGCGCGUAGGCGGUUUAGCAAGUCAGAUGUGAAAUCCCGGGGCUUAACUCCGGAAGUGCAUUUGAAACUGCUAGGCUAGAGUGCAGUAGAGGUUGGUGGAAUUCCCAGUGUAGAGGUGAAAUUCGUAGAUAUUGGGAGGAACACCAGUGGCGAAGGCGGCCAACUGGGCUGCAACUGACGCUGAGGCGCGAAAGCGUGGGGAUCAAACAGG
rnacentral:rRNA from 1 species